UAAAGGAGUUCGGAGCAUAAGUUCUCGGGGAAGAACAGGAGUCUGAGAGCGAACCUUUAGGAACGUUCACAACCACUCGCCCUCAAAGGCAGCAGAAAGCGUUGCUGAGACGGACAGGUUUUUCUGUUUUCUGCCUUUCAAACUGAUUCAAGGCAGCGCAGAUGCGGUCUGUGGGCCAGGUGAAAGCCCGCCCCUGCUGAAGCCUGCCUGCCGAAGCACCUGGUGCUCAGGGACACGCGGCGGGACCCCUCGCAGCUGUACAGCUGUGCCCUGGGACAGGGCGUGUGGAGGGCUCGCCUGGCAAACGCUGCUUCGGCCAGAGUGCUGCAGGCGCAGACACCCGCCUUUCUCUCGUUUGGGAAAUGUGAGGAUGGCAAUGACCUGGAACCUUUAAGGUCUUAGCGGGAUUUUAACACCGCGUGCUUUUGGUGACUGCUUAAGCGAAAUGAAUCCGAGAACAAUCACUGACAACAGCCGCCUCCAUCAGGUUUCAAGCCUCUGCAAGAUCCUGACUGCUAGGGAACAAAGGCUGGUAUGUGGUUCCCUCAAAGUUCUUGUCUGGAGCAACAAGGUCUUCCAGCAUUGGAGGAAGACAUGCAUCUCUCAGUACAUCAGGAUGAAACAAUACCCUAAGGAGUGA
rnacentral:lncRNA from 1 species